rnacentral:rRNA from 1 species
UACGGGGGGAGCAAGCGUUGUUCGGAUUUACUGGGCGUAAAGGGCGCGUAGGCGGCCAGCACAAGUCAGUUGUGAAAUCUCCGAGCUUAACUCGGAAAGGUCAACUGAUACUGUGCGGCUAGAGUGCGGAAGGGGCAACUGGAAUUCUUGGUGUAGCGGUGAAAUGCGUAGAUAUCAGGAGGAACACCGGUGGCGAAGGCGGCUACCUGGACAGAAACUGACGCUGAGGCGCGAAAGCUAGGGGAGCAAACAGG